GACGAACGCUGGCGGCGUGCCUAAUACAUGCAAGUCGAGCGCAGGAAACUGACGGAACUCUUCGGAGGGAAGGCAGUGGAAUGAGCGGCGGACGGGUGAGUAACACGUAAGGAACCUGCCUCAAGGAUUGGGAUAACUCCGAGAAAUCGGAGCUAAUACCGGAUAGUUCAACGGACCGCAUGGUCCGCUGAUGAAAGGCGCUCCGGCGUCACCUUUGGAUGGCCUUGCGGUGCAUUAGCUAGUUGGGGGGGUAACGGCCCACCAAGGGGACGAUGCAUAGCCGACCUGAGAGGGUGAUCGGCCACACUGGGACUGAGACACGGCCCAGACUCCUACGGGAGGCAGCAGUAGGGAAUCUUCCACAAUGGACGAAAGUCUGAUGGAGCAACGCCGCGUGAGUGAUGAAGGUUUUCGGAUCGUAAAACUCUGUUGUAAGGGAAGAACACGUACGAGAGGAAAUGCUCGUACCUUGACGGUACCUUACGAGAAAGCCACGGCUAACUACGUGCCAGCCGCCGCCGUAAUAC
rnacentral:rRNA from 1 species